GGGUCGGUAGCUCAGUUGGGAGAGCGCUUGGUUCGCAAUCAAGAGGCCGGGGGUUCGACUCCCCUCCGAUCCA
rnacentral:tRNA from 2 species